UACGUAGGGGGCAAGCGUUGUCCGGAUUUAUUGGGCGUAAAGAGCGUGUAGGCGGUUUGGUAGGUCCGCUGUGAAAACUCGAGGCUCAACCUCGAGACGCCGGUGGAAACCAUCAGACUAGAGUCCGGAAGAGGAGAGUGGAAUUCCUGGUGUAGCGGUGAAAUGCGUAGAGAUCCGGAGGAACACCGACGGCGCAGGCAGCGUCCUGGCCGCUUGCUGACACUGAGGCACGAAAGCUGGGGGAGCAAACAGG
rnacentral:rRNA from 1 species